CUUACGUCAGGCCCGGUUACACAUGAGACUGUGCCCUUAAAAUUGAUUCUGGAAGUGAAUCACCAUGAGUCUAUAUCUUUCCACCUAAUUUCCUCAACACAGUUUCCAGUGAUUUUGGGUAUACCCUGGCUUGCUCUGCAUAACCCACAAAUUGAUUGGAAGACUAGAACCUUGUCCUUUCCUUCAGAACACUGCUUAAUGAAUUGUCAACCCUCUAAGGCGACACCUGUUACCACAACAAUUAAUGAAAUGGUUGCUACAAACUUAACUAAGCUUCCUCUACAAUAUCG